rnacentral:lncRNA from 1 species
UAAAUAUACAAAAAUUAGCCAGGUGUGGUGGUGGGUGCCUGUAGUCCCAGCUACUCAGGAGGCUGAGGCAGGAGAAUCUGGAACCCCGGAGGCAGAGGUUGCAGUGAGCCGAGAUCGCACCAUUGCACUCCAGCCUGGGCGACAGAGUGAGACUAUCUGAAAAAAAGCAAAAAUAGGCCAGGCAUGGUGGCUCAUGCCUUGAUCCCAGCACUUUGGUAAGCCUAGGCAGGUGGAUCACUUGAGGUCAGGGGUUCGAGACCAGCUUAGCCAACAUGGUGAAAACCUGUCUCUACUGAAAAUACAAAAAUUAGCCAGGCGUGGUGGUGGGUACCUGUAAUCCCAGCUACGCGGGAGGCUGAGGCAUGAGAAUUGCUUGAACUCAGGAGGCGGAGGUUGCAGUGAGCAGCAGUCAUGCCAUUGCACUCCAGCCUGGUGACAGAGUAAGACUCUGUCUCAAAAAUAAAUAAAUGCAAAAACAACAAAUCUUAUUUUUUCAGCCUGUUCGAUGUAUGUGUGAAACAAUGUUGUCCAACAAUAAACGGGAAUCUUAUUUUUCUGAGGUUUUUUCCCCUAACUUCAUUUCUAGUGAAUUUUCUGAGUUCUAACAAAAAAUGGUAGAGACAGUUGUCAUGAAUUGUACCCCUUUUCUCAUUCUUUCUGCUUUAGGCUUGAACAUGAGGCAUAAAGCUAGACUCAGCUGUUAGGAAAAACUGCCUCAUGCUGGCCCUGACAUCAUUGAGCUAAUAAACAAAUCCCUCUACCUCCAGACUUAUUAUGUGAGGAAACACACACACACACACACACACACACACACACACACACACACGUGUUACUGAAACACCAGGGGUUCCGAUCUAGUUCCUGUUCCUUGCUUCACAAAAAGCCAAUCACUGAGAUGAUUAUUGCCAAAGAAUAAGGCUUUAAUCAGGUGCUGCAGAGAAACAGAUGGGAGAUCAAUCUCAAACUUGGGUCCCUGACUGACUAAAACUAGGUUUAUAUAGCAGGAAAGAAAUGUAAUAAUGUGUUAAAAAAAAAAAAAAAAGGAACUAGGGAGGAAUAAGGAAGCAAUCAUGAUGAAUGAGGGGCUUGGCAUCUCAUUUUCUGGAUGCUGUGAUCCGGUGAGUUUCAGUUCUUUGAUACUUUUUUUGAGAGACCUGAAGGUCAUUUCCUGAGGAAGGAACUCAGAUAAAUAUAACUUUCCAGCUUUAAGACCAGAAGGGUCAAUUUCUAUGUUUGUCCAAAAAAAAACUAAGGUACUAUUGGGUCAGGUUCACACACGCCCACACCACCCUUAGGUGUUUAAGCCACAGUUGGUCAGUUUACCUGUUCUUCCAGCAAAAGCAUUUCUCACUGCUCUUGCCAGGUCCUGUCUAUUUAACCUCCUAGAUGUCUCUCACAUUCAUGCAUUCCUCUUCACCCACCUUUGCCACUCUAGGCAUAAUGACCUGCUUUCAGCCUUUGGUACAUGCCAUGUUCCCUCCUGUCACUGCCCUUUAUACACGCCCUUCCCUCUGUCUGGAAUGUUCUUCCUUCUCCCCUUAGGCUAGUUAGCUCUUCAUCCUUUGGCUUUUAUAGCAAGCACUGCUUCCCCAAGACAGCCUUCCCCAACCUCCCCUUAUCCUACCCUGGGCACCUGUCAGCUGGAUGCAAUUUUAUACUAUGUGUGUGAUUAUCCAAUUAUCUCACUAGUUAUUCACUCCAUGAGGACAGGGACCUUUUCUGUUUUAUUCAUCAUUGUAGCAGCAGCAACCCACAUAGCAGCUGACACAACAGAUACGCUCUAUAUUUGUUGAAUGGCAUGAAUGUCUAAAAUAGGAUUCCAACCCAGUCUCUCCUACCUGAGUCUCUGCUUAUCCUCAGUAGCUGGGACUACAGGCAUGGCAUGUGCCACCAUGCCUCUUCGGUUCACCUUUAAAAAAUAAAAGAAUUGGCCACAUACAAUGGCUCACACCUGUAAUCCCAGCACUUCGGGAGGCCAAGGCAGGUGGAUCACAAGGUUAGGAGUUCGAGACCAGCUUGGCCAACAUGGCAAAAACCCCGUCUCUACUAAAAAUACAAAAAUUAGCCAGACGUGGCAGGCACCUGUAAUCCCAGCUACUUGGGAGGCUGAGGCGGG